UAUUCAUUUAUCUCCCAGCCUACA
rnacentral:miRNA from 2 species